UAUUACUGAUACAAAAUGGUGGUUCCCAUUCCCAAUAUUUUAAAUCAACAAUUAGCAAAAGAUGAAUAUUUGCUACCACUAAUAACAAAGAAGGGGAUUUUGUUACACUAAACAUAUGACUUCUACCUAUUCCAUUUCCAAAUAGCCCUCUUACUGACAUUGUUCAACUGUAUUGGGAGUUACACGUCUCUUCUCGCACUUAAGCUUUGUUAUACUACCUAAGAUUAAUUAGCCUGUCUACUGGCUGCUUUACACUUGGUGCAUGAUAGGAUACAGGGAGAGAGGGCAUAAUAGGUAAUGGGUCUAGGUUAGAAGGCAAAGGAAUAGUAUAAAUAGGACUCUUUUAUUUUGGUAAGGGGAGUUAGUGAAUGGUUUACUUUGUAAAGACCGGUUUAGAACCUGGUGAGAGGGGUUAGGCCCUCGAGUUACACUUCUUACUUCGUGAUUGUUACUGUCAAUAACAUACCCAUUGUUUCAUUCUUUCUCUGUUUUACCUGUUCGGUGAGAGAGAGAGCGUUAGUGGAUAGGUUUCAUCUUUGGGCACCUACCAGUGCAUGUUUUUUCCCAUCAAUAUCAGCUGUUUGAUUGAAAAUAAGCCAUUUUUAAAGUAAGCUAGAUUUUUUGAGGCAGAAAUUUGAAAUUUUGUAAAAAGCUUACUUUUUCCUGAUUUAUUUUUUCUUGAAAAGAAAAUUGUUUUCUUGAAUCUGAAAAUUUAUUGCUUAUAAUUAUUAUUCAACAGUUUCUCCCGUCACGAGCUUCACACAUACUAUUUUUUCAUGUAAAAGCUGGAUUUUUGUUGCAUCCAAAACAAAGUUAAUUAUUUGAAAACCUUUUUUAGCAAAACUUACCCACAUCAAAAACUGAUUCUGAUUAUAGUUUAUUAUAAGAGUAAUCUGUUAUGCAUUUAAUCAACCAUUGAAAUAAUCUAAUCUCAUAGCUUCCCAAACAGACCCUAAAUUUUUAGAUUUAGUAAAACGAAAAAUAAUA
rnacentral:lncRNA from 1 species